rnacentral:rRNA from 1 species
CCUACGGGAGGCAGCAGUGGGGAAUAUUGCACAGUGGGCGCAAGCCUGAUGCAGCCAUGCCGCGUGUGUGAAGAAGGCCUUCGGGUUGUAAAGCACUUUCAGCGGGGAGGAAGGCGGUGAGGUUAAUAACCUCAUCGAUUGACGUUGCCCGCAGAAGAAGCACCGGCUAACUCCGUGCCAGCAGCCGCGGUAAUACGGAGGGUGCAAGCGUUAAUCGGAAUUACUGGGCGUAAAGCGCACGCAGGCGGUCUGUCAAGUCGGAUGGUGAAAUCCCCGGGCUCAACCUGGGAACUGCAUUCGAAACUGGCAGGCUAGAGUCUUGUAGAGGGGGGUAGAAUUCCAGGUGUAGCGGUGAAAUGCGUAGAGAUCUGGAGGAAUACCGGUGGCGAAGGCGGCCCCCUGGACAAAGACUGACGCUCAGGUGCGAAAGCGUGGGGAGCAAACAGGAUUAGAUACCCCGGUAGUC